GACGAACGCUGGCGGCGUGCUUAACACAUGCAAGUCGAACGGGAGGAAAAGAGAAGCUUGCUUCUUUUUGAAUCUAGUGGCAAACGGGUGAGUAACACGUAAACAACCUGCCUUCAGGAUGGGGACAACAGACGGAAACGACUGCUAAUACCGAAUGUGUUCCGGAGACCGCAUGAUUUCCGGAAGAAAGGAUGGCCUCUAUUUAUAAGCUAUCGCCUGAAGAGGGGUUUGCGUCUGAUUAGGCAGUUGGUGAGGUAACGGCCCACCAAACCUACGAUCAGUAGCCGGUCUGAGAGGAUGAACGGCCACACUGGAACUGAGACACGGUCCAGACUCCUACGGGAGGCAGCAGUGGGGAAUCUUCCGCAAUGGACGAAAGUCUGACGGAGCAACGCCGCGUGAGUGAUGACGGCCUUCGGGUUGUAAAGCUCUGUGAUCGGGGACGAAUGGCUGGUAUGCUAAUACCAUAUCAGAGUGACG
rnacentral:rRNA from 1 species